rnacentral:other from 1 species
GCCAAAACACGAAAAAAAUUCCUUUGGAAUUUUCAAC